GUUUAAACACCGAUUCCCGUCCAAUCACCGAAGUUAAGCCACAUCGAACCUGGUCAGUAUCUAGAUGGGUAACCGCUUGGGAAUACCAGGUGCUGUAAG
rnacentral:rRNA from 1 species